rnacentral:rRNA from 1 species
AAGCGGAGGAAAAGAAACUAAAUAGGAUUCCCUCAGUAAUGGCGAAUGAACAGGGAUGAGCUCAGUAUGGAAAUUGGGGCCUGUGGCCUUGAAUUGUAGUCUGGAGAUGUACCACCAACUGGGGCGCAGAUGUAAGCCUCUUGGAAAAGAGCAUCAAUGAGGGUGAGAGUCCCGCUUGGCAUCUGCAGUCCCCAGUGCACGGUGUACCUUCUAAGAGUCACGUUCCUCGGGAUUGGAGCGCAAAUCGGGUGGUAAGUUUCAUCUAAAGCUAAAUAUAGUUUCGAGACCGAUAGCAAACAAGUACCAUGAGGGAAAGGUGAAAAGGACUUUGAAAAGAGAGUUAAAAGUGCCUGAAAUUGCUGAAAGGGAAGCGAAUGGAACCAGCGUAACUUGGCGAGAUUGCUGCGUGUCAAUGUGAUUGCUUGCUGCUUCAACGUAAGUGUUGUAGUAAGUCUUGAACAGGACAUGCGCGGUGCUUCUUGCCUUGUGUGUCACCGUCAGUUCGCAACUGGGGAAAACUUCAGGGACAUGGUAGCCUGUCUCCGGGUGGGUGAACGUGUUUGCUGGAACUCAUUUGCGGAUUGCUUGGUGACUAAAUGGUUCCAUCUGACCCGUCUUGAAACACGGACCAAGGAGUCUAACAUAUGUGCAAGUUCACGGGUGUUAAACCUGCUUGCGUAAUGAAAGUGACUGCUGGGAUUUUUGCACCAGCAACCGACCAAUCAAUUGAGAGAGGUUUGAGUAUGAGCAUAUCUGUUAGGACCCGAAAGAUGGUGAACUAUGCCUGUGAAGGGCAAACU